rnacentral:rRNA from 1 species
CACGUAGGGGGCGAGCGUUGUCCGGAUUUAUUGGGCGUAAAGAGCUCGUAGGCGGCUCAGUAAGUCAGGUGUGAAAACUCCAGGCUCAACCUGGAGACGCCACCUGAUACUGCUGUGGCUAGAGUCCGGUAGGGGAGCAUGGAAUUCCUGGUGUAGCGGUGAAAUGCGCAGAUAUCAGGAGGAACACCAGUGGCGAAGGCGGGUCUCUGGACAGUUCCUGACGCUGAGGCACGAAGGCCAGGGGAGCAAACGGG